rnacentral:lncRNA from 1 species
CGGGUUUAGGCUUGGCUAGUUGAAUGAUUUCAGUGGGCUCUGAAUUUCAUGGCUGUCUCUAUUUGUCUGUUAUUAGGCCCUGGAGUGAUAGGGCAGCAGAAUAUCUACUCUGAACUAAGAGCAUAACAAAGGAGGUGGAAGAGGCGCCAGGAUAGCUCCCAUAUUUGGAGUGUUAUCAUUCAAGUACACACUGGCACCAGGGUCCCUGAGGCUUGCUCAUUGAGGUUGUCAACACUGCAAGAAGGAGUUUUUGUGGCAGAACAGACAUUGAUUGGAGAUGCUGGCAAGGAACAAGAGAUUAGGACGCAGACAACACAGACUUAAGAGGUGAUCAUGUGAGGAUACAGCAAUAAGAUGACCAUCUAUAAGCCAAAGAUAGGCCUCAGAAUGAAAUCAACCCUGUUGACACCUGAAUCUCCAGAACUGUGAGAAAUAAAUUUUCAUGGCCGUGUGCGGUGGCUCCUGCCUGUAAUCCCAGCACUUUGGGAGGCCAAGGCGGGUGGAUUACUU